rnacentral:rRNA from 1 species
GACGUAGGGCGCGAGCGUUGUCCGGAUUUAUUGGGCGUAAAGAGCUCGUAGGCGGCUUGUCGCGUCGUCUGUGAAAUCCCGCGGCUCAACCGCGGGUCUGCAGUCGAUACGGGCAGGCUAGAGUUCGGUAGGGGAGACUGGAAUUCCUGGUGUAGCGGUGAAAUGCGCAGAUAUCAGGAGGAACACCGGUGGCGAAGGCGGGUCUCUGGGCCGAUACUGACGCUGAGGAGCGAAAGCGUGGGGGAGCGAACAGG